rnacentral:rRNA from 1 species
AUUGAACGCUGGCGGCAGGCCUAACACAUGCAAGUCGAGCGGAUGAGUGGAGCUUGCUCCAUGAUUCAGCGGCGGACGGGUGAGUAAUGCCUAGGAAUCUGCCUGGUAGUGAGGGACAACGUUUCGAAAGGAACGCUAAUACCGCAUACGUCCUACGGGAGAAAGCAGGGGACCUUCGGGCCUUGCGCUAUCAGAUGAGCCUAGGUCGGAUUAGCUAGUAGGUGAGGUAAAGGCUCACCUAGGCGACGAUCCGUAACUGGUCUGAGAGGAUGGUCAGUCACACUGGAACUGAGACACGGUCCAGACUCCUACGGGAGGCAGCAGUGGGGAAUAUUGGACAAUGGGCGAAAGCCUGAUCCAGCCAUGCCGCGUGUGUGAAGAAGGUCUUCGGAUUGUAAAGCACUUUAAGUUGGGAGGAAGGGCAGUAAGCUAAUACCUUGCUGUUUUGACGUUACCAACAGAAUAAGCACCGGCUAACUUCGUGCCAGCCGCCGCCGUAAAAC